GACGAACGCUGGCGGCGUGCUUAACACAUGCAAGUCGAACGGAAAGGCCCUGCUUUUGUGGGGUGCUCGAGUGGCGAACGGGUGAGUAACACGUGAGUAACCUGCCCUUGACUUUGGGAUAACUUCAGGAAACUGGGGCUAAUACCGGAUAGGAGCUCCUGCUGCAUGGGGGGGGUUGGAAAGUUUCGGCGGUUGGGGAUGGACUCGGGGCUUAUCAGCUUGUUGGUGGGGGAGUGGCUUACCAAGGCUUUGACGGGUAGCCGGCCUGAGAGGGUGACCGGCCACAUUGGGACUGAGAUACGGCCCAGACUCCUACGGGAGGCAGCAGUGGGGAAUAUUGCACAAUGGGCGGAAGCCUGAUGCAGCAACGCCGCGUGCGGGAUGACGGCCUUCGGGUUGUAAACCGCUUUCGCCUGUGACGAAGCGUGAGUGACGGUAAUGGGUAAAGAAGCACCGGCUAACUACGUG
rnacentral:rRNA from 1 species